rnacentral:rRNA from 1 species
AUUGAACGCUGGCGGCAUGCCUAACACAUGCAAGUCGAACGGCAGCGCGGGGGCAACCCUGGCGGCGAGUGGCGGACGGGUGAGGAAUACAUGGGAAUCUACCCUGUCGUGGGGGCAUAACGUAGGGAAACUUACGCUAAUACCGCAUACGACCGAGAGGUGAAAGCGGCGGACCGCAAGGCGUCGCGCGGCUGGAUGAGCCCAUGUCGGAUUAGCUAGUUGGCGGGGUAAAGGCCCACCAAGGCGACGAUCCGUAGCUGGUCUGAGAGGAUGAUCAGCCGCACUGGAACUGAGACACGGUCCAGACUCCUACGGGAGGCAGCAGUGGGGGAACUAUUGGGACAAUGGGCCGCAAGCCUGAUCCCAGCAAAUGCCCGCGUGGGUG